rnacentral:rRNA from 1 species
UACGGGGGGGCAAGCGUUUUUCGGAAUUCCUGGGCGUAAAGGGCGCGUAGGCGGCCAUGCGUGUCUUCCGUGAAAUCCCUCGGCUUAACUGAGGACGUGCGGAAGAAACUGCAAGGCUCGAGUCCGGGAGAGGGGGGUGGAAUUCCCAGUGUAGCGGUGAAAUGCGUAGAUAUUGGGAGGAACACCGGUGGCGAAGGCGGCCCCCUGGACCGGUACUGACGCUGAGGCGCGAAAGCGUGGGUAGCAAACGGG